rnacentral:rRNA from 1 species
UCUGGUCUUGACUGUCAGGUGGGCAGUUUGACUGGGGCGGUCGCCUCCCAAAAGGUAACGGAGGCGCUCAAAGGUUCUCUCAGUACGGUCGGAAAUCGUACGUAGAGUGUAAAGGCAAAAGAGAGCUUGAUUGCAAGACAUACAGGUCGAGCAAGGAUGAAAAGCGGACUUAGUGAUCCGGUGGUUCUGCGUGGAAGGGCCAUCGCUCAACGGAUAAAAGCUACCCUGGGGAUAACAGGCUUAUCUCCCCCAAGAGUCCACAUCGACGGGGAGGUUUGGCACCUCGAUGUCGGCUCAUCACAUCCUGGGGCUGUAGUAGGUCCCAAGGGUUGGGCUGUUCGCCCAUUAAAGUGGUACGCGAGCUGGGUUCAGA